rnacentral:misc_RNA from 1 species
UCGAGUUUUUGAAAUGGGUUGUAGCUGGCCUUUAAAGGCAUGUGCACGCCCUGCUCAAUCCACUCUUUAAACCCCUUAUGUGCACCUAUGUAGAGUUUGGUGUGAAAGUCGAGCUGGUUAAAAGGCUUGAUAGAAACUCCUCUACUCUAUGUUAUUUCUAAUACAAACGCUUCAGUUAUAGAAUGUGUUAUUUAUUUGCGUUAAACGCAUUAUAAUA